UACGUAGGUGGCAAGCGUUGUCCGGAAUUAUUGGGCGUAAAGCGCGCGCAGGCGGUCCUUUAAGUCUGAUGUGAAAGCCCACGGCUCAACCGUGGAGGGUCAUUGGAAACUGGGGGACUUGAGUGCAGAAGAGGAAAGCGGAAUUCCACGUGUAGCGGUGAAAUGCGUAGAGAUGUGGAGGAACACCAAAGGCGCAGGCAGUGUCCUGGGAAGUACCUGACGCUCAGGGACGAAAGCUAGGGGAGCGAACGGG
rnacentral:rRNA from 1 species